rnacentral:snRNA from 1 species
AUCCGGUUAAAAUUCCGGAAC